CUCCAGCAGAGACAGCGACAUAAAGAGUUGAUGAAAAUGAAAGGGAAACUCAGUGAUUGGGCAAUUUCCUGUAAAUUACCCAUCCUGACCUUCCCUGUUGGGAUCUUUCCUGCAACACCUUGACCCUCAGAGCACAGUACACACAGGACAGGAACCAGGUUUAGAGCAGACUCAUCGCAGCUCUCGCUCCUGCCCAGCCAACCAUGGAUUGCAAAGCCAUCUGUAUUGCAUUUGCUGUUGGAAUUGUCGUUGGAGCUGCAGUUGUAGCAGCAGUAGGUGCUGUGCCGGUGUCCCUCUCUGCAGUGGGGAUUAGCAAGACCAAGGGUCUUGCCAUCACUUUCACGGCUGGU